UAACGAGGGAAUCUGCAUCUCGUCCACUAGUAAAAGCUACAUUAUUAUUCUGGCUGGAAAAAUCAAAAAGCUGCUGCUGCGAUGAAUUAAUUUGCAUGGAUAUGAGCUUAGAUCCGAAUAGUAAUUAUGUUUGAACUAGCCACAAUAGGGAAAUAAGGUAAAUGUCUUUCCCAGCCUUGAAUUCCUUAAAAUUGUAGCUGAAGCUCUACUUCAAAUCCAUUAUUCUUGUUUUCCUAGCUAUAGAUAAACAAUUGAUGACCGUAAUUAUGUUAGAUAUAAGAGCAAAUUUGCUGACUACGUUGCAACAAUAAAGUCGAAUAAUUU